rnacentral:rRNA from 1 species
UUGGCGGCGUGCUUGACACAUGCAAGUCGAGCGAGAAAGGUCUUCGGACUGAGUACAGCGGCAAACGGGUGAGUAACGCGUGGGAAUCUACCUUUAAGUGGAGAAUACCCUCGAGAAAUCGAGGUUAAUACUGCAUACGUCUCGCAAGAGAGAAAGAUGGCCUCUUUGCUGUCGCUGAAAGAUGAGCCUGCGCACUAUUAGCUAGUUGGUAGGGUAAAGGCCUACCAAGGCUAUGAUGGUUAGCCGGCCUGAGAGGGUGUACGGCCACACUGGAACUUAGACACGGUCCAGACUCCUACGGGAGGCAGCAGUGAGGAAUAUUGCGCAAUGGGCGAAAGCCUGACGCAGCGACGCCGCGUGGAGGAUGAAGGUCUUAGGAUUGUAAACUUCUGUUAAGCGGGAAGAAAAGCGAUGUUUUAAUAGAACAUUGAAAUGACGGUACCGCUAGAGAAAGCACCGGCUAACUUCGUGCCAGCAGCCGCGGUAAUACGAAGGGUGCAAACGUUAUUCGGAUUAAUUGGGCGUAAAGGGUACGCAGGCGGUUCGUUAAGUCAACUGUUAAAUCUCCCGGCCUAACUGGGAAUCAGCGGUAGAUACUGGCGAGCUAGAGGAUGGAAGAGAGAAGUGGAAUUCUUGGAGUAGAGGUAAAAUUCGUAGAUCUCAAGAGGAACACCGAUGGCGAAGGCAGCUUCUUGGUCCAUAUCUGACGCUCAGGU